UAGAAUGUGGUGUAGUGUGGUAGCACGGAGAAUUUUGAAUUCUCAGGGGU
rnacentral:tRNA from 1 species